CCUCGUGGGAGGCCGCCAGGCACCACGGCCUGUUGUCCAGAGGGCCCUGCCUCUUCCUUGGGCUCAGUGUCCCCAGCACGUGGGGCUCCACGACCUCGCAGCGGUUCGUGGAGGGAGAUGGGCCACGGCCCAGACGGACACGGCCCCGCACCCCGUCCCCUUCCCCGGUACAGGUGGACACACCAAAGCGGCCUUUGGAGGGGGCGACUGAGCACAGUGAGUGCUUCCACAAGUCAGGCUUGAGAGAGCAGAUGAUGCCAUCCAGGGCGCCGGGCAGCAGCACUCCCCGCACCAACAGCACGACGAGGACCACGCAGGGGAAGAGGCAGGGUCCUGGGCAGGACGGAGUGGACUGGGCCGGCCGGAGACAGAGGCGACAGCGAGGUGACCGCGAAGACCUCUGCCUCCGUCCCACCCUCAGCAGAGCAGGACAGGUAGGCAAGGGAGGGCCACGGGCCGGGUCCCCCCAGGCU